rnacentral:rRNA from 1 species
UACGUAGGGUGCAAGCGUUAAUCGGAAUUACUGGGCGUAAAGCGUGCGCAGGCGGUUCUAUAAGACAGAUGUGAAAGCCCCGGGCUCAACCUGGGAAUGGCAUUUGAUACUCAAGGGCUCGAGUACGGGAGAGGAGAGUGGAAUUCCCAGUGUAGAGGUGAAAUUCGUAGAGAUCGGGAGGAACACCAGUGGCGAAGGCGGCCUUCUGGACCAGCACUGACACUCAAGCACGAAAGCGUGGGGAGCAAACAGG